UACAGAGGGUGCGAGCGUUGUCCGGAAUCACUGGGCGUAAAGGGCGCGUAGGUGGCGAUCCAAGUCCAUGGUGAAAGCUCGAUGCUCAACAUCGAGUCGGCCACGGAUACUGGGUUGCUUGAGCACUGUAGGGGCAGAUGGAAUUCCGGGUGUAGCGGUGGAAUGCGUAGAGAUCCGGAAGAACACCGGUGGCGAAGGCGGCUCACUGGCCCGGUACUGACGCUGAGGUGCGAAAGCGUGGGGAGCAAACAGGG
rnacentral:rRNA from 1 species